rnacentral:rRNA from 1 species
CUUGACGAUCAUAGAGCGUUGGAACCACCUGAUCCCUUCCCGAACUCAGAAGUGAAACGACGCAUCGCCGAUGGUAGUGUGGGGUGCUCCUAUCCCAAAACCCCUGGUCAGCGAUGACC